rnacentral:rRNA from 1 species
GUGGGGAAUCUUGCGCAAUGGACGAAAGUCUGACGCAGCGACGCCGCGUGGGUGAUGAAGGCCUUCGGGUUGUAAAGCCCUGUGGGGAGAGAAGAAUAAGUGCGGGCUAAUACCCCGCAUGAUGACGGUAUCUCCUUAGCAAGCACCGGCUAACUCUGUGCCAGCAGCCGCGGUAAGACAGAGGGUGCAAACGUUGUUCGGAAUUACUGGGCGUAAAGCGUGUGUAGGCGGUCUGAUAAGUCGGAUGUGAAAGCCCCGGGCUCAACCCGGGAAGUGCACUCGAUACUGUUAGGCUAGAGUACUGGAGAGGUUGGUGGAAUUCUCGGUGUAGAGGUGAAAUUCGUAGAUAUCGAGAGGAACACCGGUGGCGAAGGCGGCCAACUGGACAGAUACUGACGCUGAGACACGAAAGCGUGGGGAGCAAACAGGAUUAGAAACCCCAGUAGUCC